rnacentral:piRNA from 1 species
UUGAAUAGGACUAUUUGAAUGAAUGCAGGA